GUCCGGCCAGAGGUAGACGGCCCGCGGGGCCAAUCGGAGUGCAGGCAGGGCAGCAGGCCCCGCCUCCGAAACAACAGAAAGCACUUGACAGGCUUGCUCUCCAAUGAGAAGCCCCGGAAAAGUGUCGCGCGGAGGCGGAGCCACGCGGUACAGCCACCUCUGCGCCUGCUCAAAGGCCCUGGACACUUGGAGUCUAGGUCCCCAAGCUAGGCCAGGGAAGUGACUCUGGCUGUUAGCCACAGCCCACGCCUACCCUUGCCCUGUGAUUCAGACACCCGAGUUCAGAGCCAGCCUCCAAGAGUAUCUUACAUCCCAGCGUCUCCUGGAAGGCCGUAUGAUCCAGCACUGGGGAGAGGAGGGAAAUCCCCAGGACUCGAAUGCCCAUCCCACCCUUGGUGUAGUGAGGACUCAUCCUGCUGGAAAGGCCCCUGAAGAACUUCAAGUUCCAAUAUCCCGUUUUUACAGAUGGGGAAACUGACAUGAAGAGGAGUCCAAAGUGACACAGUCAGGCCAGAAAUGUUGCUUCUGAAGUCCUGAGUCCACCUCCUAGCACUGCCAAGCAGUCCACCUGGAGGUGAUGAGAACUUCCAGGCUUUGGUAAUGGACAACUCUGUAUCCCUGGAGCCUUCAUUCCUUUUGGCAUUACAGAACCACAAGAAGUCAUCUAGAAUCAUUGAGAUUCUCAACUCCAUUGGGCAAACUGGAACCAGCAAAAUCUCAGAUAUCUAGAAUUGCCACUGCUUCCUUGACUCUGUGAUCAGUCUACAGCCACAGAAUCCUGAUUCCCUUUGGACAUUCUAGAAUGGCACUUUAAAAAAAAACAACCCACCCAGUGGAUCCUUUCAAAGCACUGCUUAUUCUCUUGGCUGGGUGCUCUACAGCCAGAAGUUGGAGUUAUCUAAUAUCAAGAACUCUUAAUCUGUCACUUCAGUCUUUCUAAACCCACAGACUAACAAUGUUUUGUGCAUUCU
rnacentral:lncRNA from 1 species